CCUGAGCAGGGGGAGACAGGGGCAUCAUCAGGGGUCAAGAAGAAGGUGUUCGUCCCACUGCCCUGCUGGAUUUGCUCAGCCCUCCCACUCCUCCUGGUCAUGAGAGAUGCCCUGCUUGAUUGCAGGUGCUUGGGGCAGCAAAGAUGCCGUGGUAGGUAUCUCCUAGAGCAAAAACUGAUUACCAGACACAUGGAACACAGUGUUUGCUGUAGGAACUCCUGUUUCUAACGCCAUCUCAUUCUGCUACUUGAAGUUUCCUCAUCCUGGCCUGCAUCCUUCUAACACAAGCACAGGAGGGGAGAGGAAAAGCCCAGCGGAUCAAGGACUUUAUGUUCCCUCUCUGCUUGGACAGGCACAAGGAUGAACUGGUGCCAGCAGCAAGACGGAGCUGAUGCCAGCAGGCCAAGGCUGUGCCAGCCUCUUCUUGCUCCACUACCCACGGAUCUACCCCAGGAGAAUCAACCUAACUCCCAAGAUGGUCCUAUCCAUGCAGGGGAACAAAGUGGACUCCAGCAAUUACAGCAGCCUCCUACACACCAAAGCGAUAUGGUAUCAGCUGUGUAUGUACAAACUACUGUUUUCUCUGGGCUUUAAACGUGGGAAACAGGCUGGGUCCUGCUCAGGUGGAAUGUGGGGAAGGCAGAGUUGGAAACAUGGCCCUGAGCACUGCCCGCUCCUGCUCAGUGUGCUGAAGGCAGUGAGAGCAGGUUGGCCCUCAGCACCCCCGUGCUGCAGGAGGUGCAGUAAGGGGCUGCCCCAGCUGUUCAGGAUGCUGCAAGCAGUCAAGUGGUAACACAGGUGGCAGUACAUUUCAUUUGCAAUGUUUCUGGUUAUUUUCUCAUCAGGCUGGUGAGUCAGCAGUGAACUGUACAAAAGGGCUGUUCACCUCUGUUGGGCUGUGUGCAGGUCUGCUUUGGGAAGGAACUGGUUCCUUUCUCCUGCAGAGCUGCCUUGUCAAAGCAGAGCAGGAAAGGAAAGCCAAGCCAAGAGACCAGCCCAUCUGAACACCCCAGGAAGCUGUCGAGGAAAGUCAGACCAGGACAACCAUGCACCUUCUCUCCAGAGUAGUGACUGACAUAUGAAGGUUGAUGAAAAGCAACAUCCAGAUCCUAUGGCUUGUAAUUCACUCUAAAACACACGUAAUACCAUGAUGCAGCUAAUCACUGUACAAAAAGCUUUAUACACCCCACCCUAUUUUGCAAUAAGACAUGUAAGACUUACUCACUUCCCUGUAAACUUUCCAGAGUCCAAGCUGAAAGCAGACAUCACUAGAGUGAUUCAUUCACCUAACUCAUCAGGGAUCUAGGAGAAUGCUGAAACCUCUGAUGUGCUCAGCACAAGCCAGACAACCCUGCAGCAACCACUGGCUUCUCAGGAGAUGGCCAUCUCUCUGCAUGCUACAGACCUGCUGCUGUGGGGACAGAUGCCAUGGUUAGUCCUGCUUAAGGGACUCAUGCAUUCAACCAGGUCUUGAAGAAGCAGCACACAGACCUGGGGGACAGCAGAGCAGGAUCAAUCACUGGCUGAGGUACAGCCUUGUUAUGAGGGAAGAAAGCCUCUGGGUCUGGGAGAGGCAUGACUAAGAAGAGCAGUGACAUCUUUGGCUGGGAAAGCAGAGAUGGGCAAAGAGGUGUGACAGCUAUGGCUACUCUGUUUUACAGCACUGCUCUUUGCUGUCAGUUGAGCUGAGCAGCCUGGUUUAUCAACUUUCCAGGCCCUAUCCGCCCACUGAGAUUUGGCAGCAAAGGAAGCAGAGACCUCUUUCCUGUUUCAUGCAAAAUUCAGCCUUCCUUCCUGCUCAUUUGCAUCCCCCUGAGCAGUACUCCAGAUGAAAGAAGCUUCAUCCACAGAGAAAGAAUAGGAUGGUAGAGAAAUGUUGCAUGAAGAGGUUUAACUGCCCAAAGUUUUGCUCAUUCCUGGGAUUUCUAAGGUCUAGUGAAGGAAGCUGCAGUCUCUAGAUCUUAGUCUAGCAUUUAAUGCAGACUACUUUUACUCAGAGGAACCUGCCACCACAGGAUGGCAUCUCUGCUCAAACUCUAUGGGUGGGCAGAACCUUUGGGUUACCUCAUCAGAUCUGAACAGCCGCCUUCCUACUGUUAUGGAUUUAUCCUCGUUAAUUUGAUUUUUUGCUCCAGAAGACUUUCAAAGUUCUUCUUUCAACAGGUGCUGAGCAGACAUUUCCAAACCACUGUCUCUGAGGCCUCUCCCAGCCUGGCAGCACAUAAGUUGAAGCUUGGAAUGUCGCCCUCAGGCUUUUCCAAGUUCUGCAUCUCAUCAGCAUCGUGAGGCUGUUUUGCAACUUCUCUGCAACUUCUUUUACCUGAGGUAACGCUAAAUAAUUCUGUAGCAUUACCAAGCCAGCUCACUGUUCACCUUUUUCCCAGAUAUCCAAGUACGGUGAACACCACACAUCCCUGCAGACCCUCUGGGCUCUUCCUAUUCAAGGUCACUGCUUCCCUUCCUUGACACAACUUACUGUUUCCUCCCGUCACCCUACAUAAUAAAUCCUUUUCAAGGCUGA